UACGGAGGGAGCUAGCGUUGUUCGGAAUUACUGGGCGUAAAGCGCACGUAGGCGGCUUUUUAAGUCAGGGGUGAAAUCCCGGGGCUCAACCCCGGAACUGCCCUUGAAACUGGGAAGCUAGAAUCUUGGAGAGGCGAGUGGAAUUCCGAGUGUAGAGGUGAAAUUCGUAGAUAUUCGGAAGAACACCAGUGGCGAAGGCGACUCGCUGGACAAGUAUUGACGCUGAGGUGCGAAAGUGUGGGGAUCAAACAGG
rnacentral:misc_RNA from 1 species